UACAGAGGUCUCAAGCGUUGUUCGGAUUCAUUGGGCGUAAAGGGAGCGUAGGCGGCGGGGUUAGUCAGGUGUGAAAUCUCGGGGCUCAACCCCGAAACUGCACUUGAUACUGCCUUGCUAGAGUACUGGAGAGGAGAUUGGAAUUUACGGUGUAGCAGUGAAAUGCGUAGAUAUCGUAAGGAAGACCAGUGGCGAAGGCGAAUCUCUGGACAGUUACUGACACUGAGGCACGAAGGCCAGGGGAGCAAACGGG
rnacentral:rRNA from 1 species